rnacentral:lncRNA from 1 species
AAGCGGCGCCCAGCGCCGCCAUUCCCUUCCCCUUUCUCUCUCACACACCCCCCUCUGGGAAGAAACAAAAAAAUCCGUCCUUUUUGCUAUCUCCUUGCUUAUUAUCUUGGCUCCUUCCUCUAGAACAUCACAUGACCAUGGCGAUCGACCACCACGGAGUGACAGCUAAUAUAUGCUCCUCUCAUGGCUCAGAACAAGGUGCUCGAUGGUGCUGCCAAUCUGCCAUGCUUGCUUGAGGAAGGAGAUGCAGUGUGGUGUCGGCAAAGAUUAAUUCUUUCUUCUCCCCACUCUAUCACUCUCCCUCCCUCUCUCUCUCUCUCGCGCGCGCGCGCCGGUGGCGAUGGUCCGCAGUGGGGUGUGCCGCCGCGGCAGUGCCAGUGUGCUUUUUGGCUUGAUAAAUGUGGAGCGAGCGACUGUUGGAAGACGCAGAUGGCUUCAUUGAUCAACACCGAGUGUGUGUG